rnacentral:rRNA from 1 species
UACGAAGGGGGCUAGCGUUGUUCGGAAUUACUGGGCGUAAAGCGCACGUAGGCGGACUGUUAAGUCAGGGGUGAAAUCCUGGAGCUCAACUCCAGAACUGCCUUUGAUACUGAUGGUCUCGAGUCCGGAAGAGGUGAGUGGAAUUCCGAGUGUAGAGGUGAAAUUCGUAGAUAUUCGGAGGAACACCAGUGGCGAAGGCGGCUCACUGGUCCGGUACUGACGCUGAGGUGCGAAAGCGUGGGGAGCGAACAGG